UUCCUGAAAAUAAAUCCUGCAAACUUUUUGAUGAUUUGAAAAUCAUUUAUUUGGAAUCCAGGAAAAAAAAAAAGAUAUGAACAAAGAUCUCAAUACCCAAAGAAUAAUAAAAACAUGUUUCCAAAUAUAAGAAAUGGGUUAACAGUAAGUGGAUUCCACUAUGAAGCAAACACUUGUCUGACCAGAAGACAAGUCAUUCAUUUAGUUGAGCCAUCAGUUCCUCAUUCUGAAUUUAAAAGAGAGAAGUUAAAUAGGAGAGCAACUUUUCAACCACAUAAUGGUAGCCAUGGCAACCUACCGCAGUAUAUAGGUAAAGCACAGCAUAAGAAAUGAUUUUGAGAUCCUUGAGAGGAAAUAAAUCAUGUGGUGAGGUACGGGGUGUGGGUGAGGGGAUGGCAUGACUAAAUAAGAACAAAUAUGCCCAUUCAGUAAACCUACAACUUUUAAAGAACUAUGUUAAGGCACAAGGAUGGAAAAGACACAGUUCUUAACCUGUAAAACAUUUACUGCUAUGGGGUAAAGUGGUCGGGCGGGUGGAUGAGUACUGUAUCUGCAUAGCCAGCUACUUGCCCAAUACUGGACACAUGGUAAAUGCUCAAUACUCUGGUGUUGCAUGAUUAAAAAUAUGAACUGAACCAGAGAAGCAAAGACAUAGACAUGGAGCUGCAAGCUCAUGUGGUAUGCAAAUGAUAAUAAAAAGGCUGGUUACAAACCCUGGCUUACUCAACAAACAUUUACUGAACAUCAAUUUGACUCACAGGAUUGUUGAACUAGAGAACUGUGAAUUCUGGGCGCUGAAUGAAGAAAACCAUGCCAUGCAGAAGACAGGAUGAGAGAAGAGAAGACAUGCAGAGGAAGAAAAGUUCAAUCCUGCCCCAUUAACCUAAGAUUGUAAAAUACAAACUUUAGAUUUUCUGUUCCCUCCAAUCUCAGCUUUUCUGCGCGCCUUAUGAUUUUCCAGGGCUCUCUUUUCAAAGGUUUCCUUAUGUUCCACAGUCCAGCCUACAACCCAAUCUGUGUUCAAAGAUUGCUCUGCCCUUCAAAGUGCCCUACCCCCCAGAAGUAAAGACUAGACCACCCUCUC